rnacentral:lncRNA from 1 species
GCGCCCAGGGAGCCUGUCUUCGUGGCCUCACUGAAUUCUGGGAAACGUAAAUUAGAACUGAGAGACACUCAAAGAUUCUGGACUGUCUUCUGAGCAGAGAAUAAAAAGUAGCUAUCAUCUGCCCACCACAGACAUGAAAAAACAAGAAAGACAGUUUGCAGAGAGGAGAGAAUGAAACAGGACUGUAGAGAGAAGCAGAGACAAGAAAUGGAUCUUCCCAUCUCGUCAUGAGCUUCCACUUCCAGGUAGGCAGAACUACCAGAGACUCAAUUGAA